GAUGAACGCUGGCGGCGUGCCUAAUACAUGCAAGUCGAACGAAUGGAUUAAGAGCUUGCUCUUAUGAAGUUAGCGGCGGACGGGUGAGUAACACGUGGGUAACCUGCCCAUAAGACUGGGAUAACUCCGGGAAACCGGGGCUAAUACCGGAUAACAUUUUGAACCGCAUGGUUCGAAAUUGAAAGGCGGCUUCGGCUGUCACUUAUGGAUGGACCCGCGUCGCAUUAGCUAGUUGGUGAGGUAACGGCUCACCAAGGCAACGAUGCGUAGCCGACCUGAGAGGGUGAUCGGCCACACUGGGACUGAGACACGGCCCAGACCCCUACGGGAGGCAGCAGUAGGGAAUCUUCCGCAAUGGACGAAAGUCUGACGGAGCAACGCCGCGUGAGUGAUGAAGGCUUUCGGGUCGUAAAACUCUGUUGUUAGGGAAGAACAAGUGCUAGUUGAAUAAGCUGGCACCUUGAUGGUACCUAACCAGAAAGCCACGGCUAACUACGUGCCAGCAGCCGCGGUAA
rnacentral:rRNA from 1 species